CGCUCGGUGGCUUCGCGCGUCGCUCGGUUGCCGCCGCCGCCGCCGCCCGUGAGGAAAGUUGAACUGGGGCUCCUUCCCGGCAGUGGGCGCAGGCGGGGGUUUGUCGGAUGCGGCGGAAGGAAAAGCGGCUGCUGCAGGCGGUGGGGCUGGCGCUGGCCGCCCUCGUCUUCCUCCCCAACGUGGGGCUCUGGUCUCUUUACCGGGAACGGCAGCUGGACGGCGGGACUGGAAGAGAAGGCGGCGGAGCAGCGGGGGGCGGCGGCGGCGCGGGGGGAGCCCGCGGAAUGGCGGCGGGGGCGGCAGCAGCAGCUGCUGUGGUGGGAGCGCCACCGCCGGGAGUCGUGGCAGCUGCCCGUGGGGAGGCGCAGGAUUCCCAUGCAAGGAAGAAGGAAGAUGUCCACCUUGAUAAUGGGCAAAGGAGAAAGGACUGGCAUGAUAGAGAUGCCAUAAGGAGAGAUUUGGAACGAACAGGAAAUGGUGAGCAAGGAAAACCAUAUCCUAUGAGUGAUGCUGAGCGAGUUGACCAGGCAUACAGGGAGAAUGGCUUUAAUAUUUUUGUGAGUGAUAAAAUUUCUCUCAAUCGGUCCCUGCCAGAUAUAAGACACCCAAACUGCAACAGCAAACUAUACUUCAAAAAACUUCCCAACACCAGUGUGAUAAUUCCAUUCCACAAUGAAGGGUGGUCAUCACUUCUCCGAACAGUGCAUAGUGUUCUGAAUCGCUCUCCUCCUAAACUGAUAGCUGAAAUUGUGCUGGUGGAUGAUUUCAGUGAUCGAGAACACCUGAAGAAGCGCUUGGAGGACUAUAUGGCACGGUUUCCCAAAGUGAGGAUUCUCCGAACCAAGAAAAGAGAAGGGUUGAUAAGAACCCGGAUGCUUGGGGCUUCUGUAGCAAUAGGAGAUGUUAUUACCUUCUUGGAUUCUCAUUGUGAGGCCAAUGUGAACUGGCUUCCCCCUCUGUUAGACCGCAUUGCUCGAAAUCGCAAGUCUAUUGUUUGUCCAAUGAUUGAUGUAAUAGACCAUGACCACUUUGGCUAUGAAACACAAGCUGGAGAUGCAAUGAGAGGAGCAUUUGACUGGGAGAUGUAUUACAAGCGGAUUCCAAUUCCUCCUGAAUUACAGAAAUCUGACCCCAGUGACCCUUUUGAGUCUCCUGUAAUGGCUGGAGGACUGUUUGCAGUGGAUAGAAAGUGGUUCUGGGAGCUAGGAGGAUAUGAUGCAGGUCUGGAGAUAUGGGGAGGAGAACAAUAUGAAAUAUCAUUUAAGGUUUGGAUGUGUGGGGGUCGCAUGGAAGAUAUUCCUUGCUCCCGAGUAGGCCAUAUCUACAGAAAAUAUGUCCCUUAUAAGGUGCCAACAGGAGUCAGCCUGGCGAGGAACCUGAAACGUGUAGCUGAGGUGUGGAUGGAUGAAUAUGCAGAAUAUAUUUACCAAAGAAGACCUGAAUAUCGACAUCUUUCUGCAGGGGAUGUGACUGCUCAGAAAGAACUUCGUAAUAAUCUCAACUGCAAAAGCUUCAGAUGGUUCAUGAGUGAAGUUGCUUGGGAUUUGCCAAAAUUCUACCCUCCAGUGGAGCCUGCAGCAGCAGCCUGGGGAGAGAUCCAUAAUGUAGGGACUGGUCUCUGUGCAGAUACAAAACAUGGAGCCCUGGGUUCACCACUAAGAAUUGAAACCUGUGUGAAAGGUAGAGGAGAAGCAGCCUGGAACAAUGUACAGGUUUUCACAUUCAGCUGGCGAGAAGACAUCCGUCCAGGAGAUCCCCAGCACACAAAGAAAUUCUGUUUUGAUGCUGUUUCCCAAAACAGCGCAGUGACCCUCUAUGACUGCCAUGGAAUGAAGGGGAAUCAACUCUGGAAAUACAGAAAAGACAAGACCCUUUACCACCCAGUAAGUGGCAGCUGCAUGGACUGUAGUGAAAGUGACCGAAAAAUCUUCAUGAGCACAUGCAAUCCUUCAUCUCCAACGCAGCAGUGGAUAUUUGAGCACACAAACUCAACUGUUUUGGAAAACUUUAACAGAAACUUUGAUCUUUAAAGAUUGUAUAUAUGUGUAUAUAUUACAGCUAUAGUUUUUACAGGGGAAAGGACUUUUUUUAAAAAAAAUAAUUUUUAAAACAUUAAGGUAAAAGGGAGAAUCUCAGGAGAGGAUGUGACUAUUGGGCCAGUCUUUACUUUAAUGAUGCUGCACCUGAGUAUCUUACCGUAAGAAAGCAGUCUAGGAAUCUGAGAUGCCAUAAUCACACAGGAAUCUUGAAUUCAGAACCUGCAGUAAUGGAUAGAUAGAUUUACACUCUUGACUCCCGCUUUGAGCUAGCAUUUUUCCAUUGGGUGGCAUAAAGUUGUCGUAUGACCUCUGCACUACAUUGUCACAAAGCCAAGCUCAAGGUUCCAGACCACAGCCAGAGCUUGAUCCUGUGUUUGAAGUAUGAUGUCACAGAGGACAUUCCAAAGUAUGUGGGUUAAUUAAACAAAAAUUGCAUUCUACUUUUUCACCUUUUUAAGAUUUCCCUGUUAUUCUCAGCAGAAGUACUAACAAAAAUAGAUUUUCACUUAUGCGAAGAAAAGGACAGUUUUAUUUGAAAAGUUCGGAGAUUGUUGUGUUUUUCAUAACUGUGAGCCAUUUUGAGGACUAGAGUUUUGUUGUCAUUGUUCAAACUGGGGAUGGGGGAGAGAAUAAAACAAAUCAAUAUUGAGUAAUUAUGCAUCAAUAUUAAGUAAUUAUGCUUGAGAGAGACUGGCUUACCUAAAGGUACCUAACAAGCUCUUAACUGAAUGCCAUUAUGAUAUUGUAAGCAUACAUCUUUUUCCCCUGCUGCAGCCAAGAGCUCUGGAAGUGAUCCAUAAAAGGAAAUAAUUCAGGAGGAAAAUGCAAUAGUCCCAGUGCAAAUUGUGCACACCAAUCAUGUCUCUUCCAUGUUGCCUGACAUUGGGUCCCAAAGGAAGAUUUCAACUUGGAACCCUUUAGCAGCUGCAUUACACAAUCUCUCAUUAUAUUUGUGUGGUGUGGCAAUAUUAUUAGCAAUCCACUGGAACUAACAUGAGUGCCAAAAAUAAGAGAACAAUGAAAUAUUGAUCUUAAGGGCUUAACUGUUUGUUUUAGAAAGCUUUUAAAAAUAUUUCCACUAAUUUGGCAGAGUAGUAGUCUUUGGUCUCUGUACAUUACAAUACUUUCAAUGCAUGGGGAGCCUGACUGGUUAGUAGAAAGAACUGUGAGAGAGCCACCUUCUGGUUGAGAAAUGAAUCUGCAUCUAAACACAAUUUUUUCAGAUUUUAUUGGUGAGCAUAAUAGGUAAAACAGUUGAUAAACGAUGGAUAUGGAUGAAUGCCAGAAAUUAACUUAAUUGGAAAUGAAACUGUUUUGCCCUGUUUUUAGGACCAGUUUCCUUGUUAACCAGUUCUGAUACUUUAGUGGAAAGAAACAAUGUUGAUUUACACCACUGUUCCUUUGAAUUUUUCCAGAUUUGUCAGGGCCAGUUGGGUCUUUGCCAUGGUUGUUUUCUGUGUGAAAUGCAGCCAAGUAAUAUAAUUCCAUAGGGCCAGCAGUUUGUAUGAAGUGGCUUUCGACAUGGAUGAAGUGAUUUGGCUAUGCUCAUUUAACUCCUCUUCAAAUGUUUUCAGGGGUGUGAAUUGAAAUGUUUUAUUAUAGAUCUUAAGAAUCCAGCUCAAUAUUUUAGCUAGAAAUUUUUCCUAUCUUAUAAUAUCAUGCAUCUAAACAUAUCUCUCUGUGGUAUAAUGAAGGAUAAUCAAAUUAAACAGCAUCAUUAAAAUAAAGAUGUGCCUUUUAAAAUGCAAAUGUACAGCAAAUGCCUAAACUUGAACAAUUUCCUAGUGCCUUGCUGGUUAAUAAUGGAGUGGGAGAGUACAAGGAAGAGUACAAUUAGUAGGGGGUGGGGUUAUCUGGGAGGAAAUGUUUCUGUUUAAAUGUCCAAUUUUAAGUUAAAAUUGUAAAAUGGGAAGAUGCUUAGUACCUAGGUUAGAAGACAGAAUGUUCCUGGAUUUUUGUAUUUCACUUUUCCCAUUCAGUCCGGACAAGCAAAAUUACAAGCAAGAAUCCCUGCAUAAACAAACAGAGUUAAUCCUGAUAGAACUUCCAGACUGGCUGCUGAUCAAAGAUGGUGGAGUACAAGCAUAUACAGGCCUGCUUGUGGCAGUUUAGUACUGGUAUGCCUCCAAGGUUAAAUGGAUAAGCAGUUAACGGAAAAACUGCCAGCUAACCAGUUGCUUGCCUAGAACAAUUGGAAAAUUCCUUCCAUCCUCAUAGGUCUUUGAAUAUUUUUUUGCAAUGGCGUUAUUUUAUUUAAAUGAUGCUAGGGCAGCCUCAGAAUCUGAAACCCUCCAACACUAAUAGAUGUUAAGUACUGUUUGGUAGUUUCAGCACAAAGGAAUGCUGUUGCAGGCCAAGAGGUACAAUGGCAGAUGGGCAUUAUCAUAAAAGAGGUCUACAAACCAUAUAACAUCUUUUCAUCAUGAGUGCAAUGAAUUAAUUAUUCAAAUUCAGCUUUUUGUUUUGACUUCCAGCUUUGCAACCAAAUUGUGAAGUAGGAAUAAUUGCAGAUGAAAAGAACAAACUGUUUAUAGUAAAUUGUUUUAUGUCUUAUUCAGUUAUACAUUGUAAAGUCCUCAUGUCCCCUAGGUUUCUGCCCCAGGCCCUACCUCAGGUGAGUGGGAUUAUCAGAAUCACGGUGAGAAGGAGCUUAAGACUUUCCUUUCAUGCCAUUUUUCCUUUCUAAAAUGGUCCCAGGGAGCUUCGUUGGUCCUACUGGUAGAAAUUAGCACCAUCUGUGCAUGUUAGUUUUCCCAGGGGAACAAAUGGCUACUCCCAAAAGUCCAUUUCGAGUCAUAAGAUCAUAAAAGGCAUGCUGGAUCAGACCAAAGCCCAUCAAGUCCAGCAGUCUGUUUACACAGUGGCCAACUAGGUGUCUCUGAGAAGCCCACAAAUAAGAUUGCUUGAUGGGAAACUUGCCCACAUUGACAGACCCCUGGGGACAGGUUGGUAAGCUGUAGAAAGGGUUGAGGUUCAGCACCUUUCUCGGCUGUACUUGUUUUGCUCUUAAAAUUAUAUGCAGCCUGUUUUAUCCACAAUUAGGACAGACUCACAAUGAGAGGCAUCUGCCAUUGUCACAUUUAGUGUGGCCUUUUAAAAAAAAUUCUAAGAAUUGAUAACCAUUUUGUUGCAUGUCAGCUUACUGAUUAUGACUAGAACAAAAUGACCAUUGUGAUCACAUUUUGUCUAUUGUAGGACUCACUGAUAACGCAUUAUUAGAUUCAUGUUCUAUUCUGAGCCAUCCUAACGCUUCUGUACUUACUCAAAGAUUCCAGGUUUUAACAGACUAAACAGUUUUAAUUUGCAUAGUCUAGAACCAAUCAGGUCCACGUUUCUAAUAACCAAGGAAGUUUUUCUCCCAAAUUUUAUGAACUAGAUUGAACUACUAUCUAACAUAUGAACUACUAUCUAACUGGCUAAAACACUCGUUCGUGCUUACAAUAAUAUGCAAUGACCUGGUAUGUUUGAGGAAAGAAAGGAAAAAAUCAGUGUAUUAAGGCAGCCUUCGGAGACUCUACAAGUUGCUUCAUACCUUGUACUGCAUGCUUAACAAUUUCUUUGAAAUUGGAUGUGCUGCAUAAACCAGUAUAGUUAUUUUCUCUUGGAGCAAAGGCCUAGUGUGUUGGGGGGGUGGAGUUAAGGAGGUCUAGCACUUUAAUGUAGUAGCUUUGAUAAACUGGAAAUCAUGUGGAUGUAGAGUGUAGUGUUUCUAAGAAUUGAAUGGACUUUCUUUUAUAUUUAAAAUAAAAAUUGUGUCUUUUCUGAUUACGUGUGUCAUCUUGAACUACCAAGAUUUCAAUGUAAGGAGGUUUGAUUACUUUAAAAAGUUCAUCUAUUCAGUAUUUCAACAGAAAUCCCAGAUACACUUGGAAACCUAGAACAUCAUCACUAUAUCUAAUUAAUAUAUGGCUAUUGUGUAGAUACUCAAAACUGGAGGUUGAAGCCAUGAACUGACAAGACAGAUCUUUUUACAAAGCUGGAAAAGUUUGCAGAAAAGCAUGAAAUCUAAAAGAGAAAAAAAACCAAGCACAGCAGGUGGGAGGAUGAAACUCUCCAAAAUAAUAGAAGAAUUCUGUAUAGCUUUAAGAAAUUGUCUCACUGACCUUUGCUAGGCAACUAUAUAUUGUUGCCAGUCUUCAAGUGUUGGCUUCUAUCAAUAAAAGGCUGGGGGUGGGGGGAGUCCUUUCCCGGGCUGUUUUGACCUUUGAGGGAGGACUUACUGGGGCCAGGCCUGGCUGUACCCACCAGAUAAUUUGAUAUUUACAUGCAUUCCUUGCAUGACUCACCCAGGUCUGGUUACUUUCUACAGUUCAACAACAGCCAUCCACGAAAGCCAGUUUGGUGUAGUGAUUAGAGUUUCAGAUUAGGAUCUAAAAGAACUAGGUUCAAAUCCCCACCAUGCCAGUGCUCAUUGGGUGACCUUGGCCCAAUCACACAUCCUAACCUACUCCACAGGGUUGUUGUGAUGAUAAAAUGAAGGAGACUGAUGUAAGCUAAAUUAAUAUAGCUGAAGAUGGGUGGCAGAUAAAAAUUGAUUGACUGGUGGGUAGGAAGGCAAGAAGAAUGUAUGGAAAAGUGAGAAUGGUGGGAGGGAUGUUGCCAAAAGGGAAAGUCCUUUCAGCUUCUCUACUGAGCACCUGGCCCUAGCUUACCAACGGGCAUCAUACAACUGGGCAUGUCCCAGUUUGGUGGCUGGAACCAGCCAGAGCUUUUUCAAAGAGAGGAAGUAAAGGUAAAAAGGAGAGGAGGGAUCAUGGCAUCUUUCAGAAAGGGGGAAAGGCAAUAAUGGGAGAGAAGGAACUGAAAUGCCCCCUGCAAGUCCUUGUGGGGCUCCACUGGUAUAAAAUUAUUUUUGUCAUCAUAGAGCAGGCAUCACAAAUUAGUUCUGAACAUAUUAGGUGCAAUUGCAUGCUAUCAGGGAGCUGUGCAGAGAAGUGUUAAAGUCUCUAAUUUGGUUUAAUAAUGUACUGUACAUUAGCUUUGAUAAUAUAUUGAGUUCAAGUUGCUUUUAAAACAAAUGCCUGACUUCCCUCACACACUACUUUUUGACUCCAAAGAUUGCCCAGCAUCUUCUGCCAUCUUUCUAUUCCUUAUCUGGGAAAAGAAAUACUGCCAUCAUAGUAUGUCACUGUGUCUCCCCCACAAAUGAUCAGCAGAACCGAGUUUUUGUUCCAAAUGAUGUGCAUGCGGAUGGUUGAUCUGUUCAUCUUUCUACUAGUGGAGGGCAAGUUAGAGUACUUGUAUGCUACUGAGCUUUAUGAGUCUUAGGUCUUUCCCACAUAUCUAAGCCUUUCUGGAGUUUCUCUGCUGCAAUUGCAGCUGAAGCCCAGUGGCAACAGAGCUUCUAUGUGUCAGGUUUAGCUGCCCAAUCCCCUGUGAUACCUAUUUUACAUCCCCUCACCAAUGGGAUGGUUAAAAAUGGAUAAUGGAUAUACAGAUAUGACUAUUAUGGAUUGUUUGAAUGGGUGAGGGAAAUAAUUGCUGGGGAAAUUGGGGCAGGGAAUGGCACUAAUAUGCAAAGGGCUAGGAAAUCUGUACUUUCCCAAGCAUACAGAAGCUAUUCUGACUUUGCUGCAAUCUCUCAAAUAACAUUAUUGUAAAGCAGCUUUGGGAAAGACUGAAUGAAAGACAGGGAGGCUGCAAAAUGUGGACCAAACCAUCAUAAUGCUGUAGCAUGGGGCAGUGGAACCCUUCCCAACAUCAUCCAAGCUAGAGAAAGCAAUAUUAAUCCAUUGAAGACUGUAGGAGUUUUCCUGGCCUUCUUAUGCAGACCAUUCCACAAGUUGGGGGUCACAACAGAGAGAGUGCAUGCAAGGAUUGAUCUUGCCCAUUUGCAGGCACCUGCAGAAGGACCUGAACAGAUGAGCAGAGCUGUCAUGGAGGAACACAGAAAACAAGACACAGUCCUUCAGCUGCAGCUGAUGGGCAGCCAGUGUAUGAACUGCUUUGACAUUCAAAUUCUGAAUGCCAAAAUAAAACAGCAACAUUCCAAACCUUCAAUCCCUUAAGUGAUAUUAGAUCUGCAUUUUUUUUCAAAUCUUAUAGCAAUUUAGAUUUCUAACCAACACAUUUGACUUCCUUGGUCAGUACUAUACUGUUAGGUGGAAGAAAAAAGAAGAGAAAG